rnacentral:rRNA from 1 species
AUGAACGCUGGCGGCGUGCCUAAUACAUGCCAGUCGCGCGAACAGACGAGGAGCUUGCUCCUCUGACGUUAGCGGCGGACGGGUGAGUAACACGUGGAUAACCUACCUAUAAGACUGGGAUAACUUCGGGAAACCGGAGCUAAUACCGGAUAAUAUAUUGAACCGCAUGGUUCAAUAGUGAAAGACGGUUUUGCUGUCACUUAUAGAUGGAUCCGCGCCGCAUUAGCUAGUUGGUAAGGUAACGGCUUACCAAGGCAACGACGCGUAGCCGACCUGAGAGGGUGAUCGGCCACACUGGAACUGAGACACGGUCCAGACUCCUACGGGAGGCAGCAGUAGGGAAUCUUCCGCAAUGGGCGAAAGCCUGACGGAGCAACGCCGCGUGAGUGAUGAAGGUCUUCGGAUCGUAAAACUCUGUUAUUAGGGAAGAACAAAUGUGUAAGUAACUAUGCACGUCUUGACGGUACCUAAUCAGAAAGCCACGGCUAACUACGUG